UCGUUGUUCACAGGAAUCACAGAAAUUGUGUAAACAAUUUUUUUCCAAUAAACGUUUAAAUGGCUUAAUAACAACGCAGCUGGAUGAGACUGGUGUGUUGUAUGACAAAUAAUGUGAUGCAAAUAGAAAGGGCGUUUUAACACGAAUGUCAUCAAAACAAAGACAAAGAAAUAUGAUUGUGCGUUAAAUUUGAGCUGUUUCCUAGAUUGUAGCAGUAAAAAUUCUAUUAGAUUUUCUUAGAAGCUUGUAGAGAAAAAUGACCGGGAAAGGAACGGAUUUGGUUAAAGAUGUUAGUGAAAGAGGACUGAUUUUUUUUUCUUUUUUUAACUUUGAAUCUCCCUCGUUCCGAUAGCAGAUCCCAAAAUAUAAAUUUGAGUUGAUUACUGGUAUUUGAACUCUUAUUUGAACAAUCAUCCAGAAACUUUUCGAAAACCUUCCCCUGAUCGGCUUUCUAUACCCGUUCCAUAAUCUCGAUAAAUCUCGCCAAACAUCAACAAACCUUCGUCAACUUUACAGAACACCGAUCCGCACACAUGCCGAGUCGUUAAAACUGAUUGCCCUCGCAUCGUUUUGCGGUAAAUCCCGUGCACUUUUCCCGAGAUGAUAACGAUAAUAUCCAGCGACGACGGCGACGUUCUGCCAAAAAUCACACACCGAAUGAUGCGAUGGGAAGGAGGCAGAGGGAGAGUAAACAUACGUUUUUGAUGACGCUAACGGCUUUCACUGGCAGACGCGAUGCUGUCAACGAUGAAAACCACAAUAUCGCAGCAUUGGAAGGAGGCGGUGGAGAUCCUUAUUCUCAAGUGGGUGAUUCAAUUUUACGAUUAUAACUUGGAUAUGAAAGAGUGCACCUGGCAGGGAAAUGAACGAGAACACCCAUCAUAUGAGGAAUUUCUCCCUCUCUCUCAUCUAAUUGAGUCAUGUUGAUAUCGCCAGGCAGCGAAAGAUCAAAGAUUUGACCACCGCACACACACGGUUUAUUAUCCGAGAGGGGUUGCAAAAAAAUCGACGAGAGUCUUUUCAAUCACAAUAAUAAACAAAAAUCACGCUUCACGAACCGAGUUCAACAUAAACUCGAGAGCCGAGAACAUCAAAGCCCAGCAGACCGGUUGGAGGAAAAUCCUCCAAAAAAAAAUCCAAUAUUCGUCCUUUGACAGCUUGACAAACGACCAGCGAGAACCAGUCGGCGGUCGUCUCUUCGGUUGGUCUAUUCAAACAUAUAAACACCAGACGAAUGGUCCACCAAUUGCUUAUUUAUUUUAUUUAUUGGAUGCUACCAAGCGAGAAGAAUUUUUGAUCUUUUCCUGUUUUUCCAGUUGAAAAAAAAAACAUGCGCCCUUUAUGAUUGUACUCUUCGUUUCGUUGCUACUAGGAACCAAAUUGGCUGAAAAGUGUUCAGAAGUGUACGCGGAAAAGUCUUCUGCGUAUUGAAACCUGCCUGAAUGAUGGAACAACCAACAGUUUCAGGAGGUACGCGACGUUAAAAAGGAUAAUGGGGACGCAGUUAUUGGCGCCCGUUUGGUUGACGGGUUAACGAGAAAAACAUCGACGAGCGCUCUUUGGGGCAAGGCCAACAAGUUACACGUAACCGGAACAGUGCGAACAAGUGCGUGGACCAUUCAAACCGCUUGAUAUUCGCUUUCGCUAAGAAGGUCUGUCCGGAGUAGAGAAAUCCUACCGAGUUGCUUCUCCUACCGAUACCGCGAACAAAACACCGUUGUCAGUGGUACAGUUGUCACCUGCUUUGGCAUCAUGCAAAAAUAAUGGCCCGAGAUUAGACAGAAACAAAUCAAACUUGUUGAAAAAUUAACCUAGCUCUGUGAAGAGGUGCUUGUCAAAUUUGUUCAACAAGUUCCUUGAGAGGAGCAUUGUCCCUUAUAAUUGUUGGCAAGAAAAGGUAUUGGACAUCUUUAAACCGGGAAAACCCGCCUCCGAUCACAACUCGCAUCGGCCGACUGACAUGCUGUAUUGUAUUCUAAAGUUGUUAGAGGAACUGAUGCUACAACGAGCAGACGGCAUCAGUGUCCUUGGAUAGUAAGGUGGUUUUUGAUUGAGUUACGUGGGACAGAACAUCAAUGCUUAUUUCUAUAAUCCCAACCAUGUCCGCGGAGAAAGAGAUUCUUGGAAUUCCGGAAUAUAUACGCUCGCAAGUAAUUUCAAACACUCUGCUAUAUUUCUCUGGGCGAAUACCAAUUUUCCUGUUUGCUCAAGAAGAUAAAAAGUAUCUUCGUUUUUGAAGCAAGUGUCAAUACAGUGCUAGCUUAAUUCGGAUUUUGGUUAGUGUCGGCUUCUGACGAGACGAAAUCGAAACACGAAUUUCUUAACUAAUUUAGCCCUAAACAAUUGUUACAUUAAAUUCCGAGAGGUCGACUGACUGUGCAUUAACUGCUAUUCACUAUACCCUUGGGAUCAAUGACAUUUGACCCACAAAUCUUUACUUUGUCGUUUCGGACAGCCUCAGCUCUAUUGGGGAUCUCCGUACGAUGAAUCCCGGAAAGCGCUCCCCAUAUUUCCUGGGGAAAAUACGACGAAGUACCCAACUGUUUCAACAAAGAAUGCAGCACAUCUGGUAAACAUCAUGGAGCAAUGGCGAGCUUGAACGAAGGUUACAUUCUAUUGUCCCGAUGGUAUCGACGAAGUUUUGAUUCUGGGGGAUAGAUGUUUAUUCGUUAAAUGUACCGGCUUAUGUCCAACCACUACACGUUACAUGCGCAUUUGCGACGUUUGGGCUUGCAAAGAGUAGUAUGUGCGCCCAUGACGAGGGCUGUCACGACAUCGAGCACGUUGUAUGGGUAUGCGUUAGGCAUUUUGAUCACCCAAUGUUGCUUUUCGGGAUUUCUCAGCAAGUCGCGGUGUCUGCAGCAUUUCCCUCAUCAACCUGUUCCUAAAUACGAUAGUUUGCUGUAUGUUCGACUGCUUAUGUUUUAUUUUCUUAUAUAAGGAAUAAGCGUUUCAGUCUAUUUUUAAUAAAUAACUCCUGUAUGUUCUCUUCUUCCGACGUUUCGGUCCUUCUUGGUCCUUAAUCCAUGAGAAAGGACAAAUACGGACCGAAACGUCGGGAUAAGAGAACUAACAAGAGUUCUAUAUUACAAAUAGACUGAAACUCCGACUUCUAACUAAAGUAAAUAAAACAUAAACAGUCGAAAAUACAGCAAACUAUCGUAACAUUACAUAAGAUAACAUUUAACCCCUCUAUGUUCGUUGUUUGUUCUUAGAAGUAUCCUGUAUUUCAGAAGACGACUUGCACCAAAACGCUAUUACGUGAUUGUCUUCAUCCUCACCAUUGGCACAGUAACAGAGAGAGAGAGAGAGCGCGCGACUUUCGAACGAUCUCCUGCAGGUCCGCCAGUAUUAGCUUCCACGCUGAUGGGGCUGACUGUAGAUUUGGAGAUGCUGGGCGAAGCUCCUGCAGUUACCAUUAUUACCUGACAAGCAGUCAUAAAUUUUCUAACCGUUUGUGUUUCAGAUUAUGGCAUUCCAGACUUUGUUUUGGAUUUGAUAGCCGUGGAUGAGUGAGCAACUGGUUGAGAUUUUCCUAAGUUUCUUCCACGCCAGGUAUUCUGUAGGAAUACAGUAAUGGCACAUACCAAACUAUCCUUGAUGGAGGUUUAGCUUAGUUAGUGUAAUUUUUGUACUGUAUGUUUUGAAUGGUAUUGUCAGGUAGAAUGUAAACUGUCUUUCAACCCGCAUCCACACAAGAAGUUCUGAUUGAGCUGAUGAGUUAUUAAGGUGACUCAACAACUUUAUUCAGACCUUAUUUUCUUGCGGGACAUCAUGCUCGAUUGGGAGUUUGCUCAAAAACAAUCUCCGCUCUUUGGAGCUAGCGUCAAUCCGGCGGUAGUUUAGUCCUGGCUCAAAAUUAAUGUCGAAUUGUGACGAGACGAAGUCGAAACACUGACGAGGAAGUACUGAUUUUCGGACAUUUCACUGCUUUGUCUUAUUAUCUAUUUGAUUUAUUUAUUUAGGUCCUAAUCUCCAGGGUCAUUUGCCUUUUUGAAAAAAAUAGAACUAAUUCACAAUUCAUAAAAGAAAAAAAGACGCGCAGCAUCUUGAAGCAGCGCUCCAACCGGAGAAAAAACUCAUCGAUGCUCCCCUUGAGGACUGCUGGACCAGGACUAAAGCAGCCAUAAGCAGCACUGCGGAGAGCGUCCUGGGAUACGUACAGAGGAGUCGAGGGGAACGAUUGGUUCGAUGGCGAGUGCCAAGAGAUAUUGGACGAGAAGCAUGCAGCACGCGCAGCGAUGUUGCUUCAAGCCACUCGUCAGAACGUGGAGUCAUAUCGACGGAAGCGAAAACAGUCUUUUUCAGAACAAAAAGCACCGCCUGGAAGAGUCUGAGAGAGAUAAGAUGGAGCUGCUGUGUCGCUCUCAAGAAACGCGGGCGUUCUUCAAGAAGCUGAAUUACUCUCGCAACGGUUUUGUGCCGCGGGCCGAAAUGUGUACAGGCAAGGAUGGUGGCAUCUUGACGGACGAACGUGAGGUGGUCGAAAGGUGGAGGCAGUACUACAAUGAACAUCUGAAUGGUGCGCAGGCCGACAAUCGGGCGUUCGAGGAGGACGAUUAUGUCAGUGUUGCGGCUGACGGGGAUGUACAGGCGCCCACUAUGAAUGAUGUUAACGAGGCUAUUCAACAGCUCAAGAACAAUAGCUGGUUAGGAUGGUCUAGGAGCAGAACUCUUCAAGGUGGGUUCGGAUAAACUGACGGAAUGCAUGCACCGAAUAAUCGAAAGAAUCUGGGACAGGGAACAGCUACCGGAGGAGUGGAAGGAAGGGGUAAUCACCCCGAUAUACAAGAAAGGCGACAAAUUGGACUAUGAAAACUACAGAGCGAUCACAGUGACAAAUGCCGCUUACAAAGUGCUAUCCCAGAUUCUGUUCCGGCGCCUAUCACCGCUGGUAAAUGGAUUUGUCGGGAGUUAUCAGGCCGGUUUCAUCAACGGCAGAUCAACAAACGACCAAAUCGUUACUAUACGGCAAAUCCUCCAAAAAUGCUGUGAAUACCAGGUCCCGACACAUCACCUGUUCAUCGACUUUAAAGCCGCAUAUGACACGGUGGACCGUGUAGAGCUAUGGAAAAUGAUGGACGAGAACGGCUCCCCUGGGAAUCUGACAAGACUGAUUAAGGCUACGAUGGAUGGUGUAAGGUGUUGUGUCAAAAUUUCGGGCGGCCUCUCGGGUCCGUUUGAAACACGCAGGGUACUAAGACAAGGCGAUGGGUUGUCCUGCCUGCUGUUCAAUAUAGCGCUGGAAGGUGUAAUACGAAGAGCGGGGUUCAACAUGCGGGGCACGAUUUUCACGAGUUCCGGACAGUUCGUGUGCUUCGCUGACGACGUAGACAUAAUCGGUAGAAACAAGGAGACGGCAGCAGAUCUUUAUACUCGACUGAAGCGCGAAGCAGCACGAAGAUAAAUGUGUGUAAGACGAAGUACAUGCUGGCUGGCGGAACCGAUCGCGAUAGGGAACGCUUGGGCAGCAGUAUUACGAUCGACGCCGACGACUUCCAGGUGGUUGACGAGUUCAUCUAUCUAGGCUUAUUAGUGACUGCGGACAAUAACACCAGCCGGGAGAUCAGAAGGCGUAUUAUCUCUGGAAGUCGUGCUUAUUAUGGGCUCCACAAAACUUUGAGAUCCAGGAAGCUUCACCGCCGCACGAAAUGCGCCAUGUACAACACACUGAUUAGACCGGUGGUUCUCUACGGGCACGAAACGUGGACAAUGCUCGAGGAGGAUCUGCAAGCACUCGAAGUCUUCGAAAGAAGGUUGCUGAGAACGAUCUUCGGUGGUGUGCAGGAAGAUGGCGUGUGGAGGAGAGAGAUGAACCACGAACUUGCGCGACUCUAUGGUGAGCCAAGUAUUCGGAAAGUAGCUCAAGUUGGGAGGGUACGGUGGGCGGGGCAUGUUGUGAGGAUGCCGGACAACAACCCCACCGAGUUGGUUUUCACCUCCAACCCGGCAGAUACAAGACGGAGAGGAGCGCAGCGUUACCGGUGGCUGCACCAAGUGGAGGAGAACCUGGCGAGUAUCGGGCACCUGAGAGGUUGGAGACAAGCAGCAACUGACCGAGUGCCGUGGCGGAAUAUUG